rnacentral:rRNA from 1 species
ACACGACCGUACCGCAAACCGACACUGGUGCGCGAGAUGAGUAUUCUAAGGCGCUUGAGAGAACUCAGGAGAAGGAACUCGGCAAAUUGACACCGUAACUUCGGAAGAAGGUGUGCCUUUAGUAGGUGAACCAUUUACUUGGGGAGCCCAAUGAGGCUGCAAAAAAUCGGUGGCUGCAACUGUUUAUUAAAAACACAGCACUCUGCUAAGACGAAAGUCGACGUAUAGGGUGUGACGCCUGCCCGGUGCUGGAAGAUUAAAUGAUGGGGUGCAAGCUCUUGAUUGAAGCCCCAGUAAACGGCGGCCGUAACAAUAACGGUCCUAAGGUAGCGAAAUUCCUUGUCGGGUAAGUUCCGACCUGCACGAAUGGCGUAAUGAUGGCCACACUGUCUCCUCCUGAGACUCAGCGAAGUUGAAAUGUUUGUGAUGAUGCAAUCUCCCCGCGGAAAGACGGAAAGACCCCAUGAACCUUUACUGUAGCUUUGUAUUGGACUUUGAACAGAUCUGUGUAGGAUAGGUGGGAGGCUUUGAAGUGUGGUCGCUAGAUCGCAUGGAGCCAACGUUGAAAUACCACCCUGGUGUGUUUGAGGUUCUAACCUAGGUCCAUUAUCUGGAUCGGGGACAGUGCAUGGUAGGCAGUUUGACUGGGCGGUCUCCUCCCAAAGUGUAACGGAGGAGUUCGAAGGUACGCUAGUUACGGUCGGACAUCGUGAUAAUAGUGCAAUGGCAUAAGCGUGCUUAACUGCGAGACUGACAAGUCGAGCAGAUGCGAAAGCAGGACAUAGUGAUCCGGUGGUUCUGUAUGGAAGGGCCAUCGCUCAACGGAUAAAAGGUACUCUGGGGAUAACAGGCUGAUACCGCCCAAGAGUUCAUAUCGACGGCGGUGUUUGGCACCUCGAUGUCGGCUCAUCUCAUCCUGGGGCUGUAGCCGGUCCCAAGGGUAUGGCUGUUCGCCAUUUAAAGAGGUACGUGAGCUGGGUUUAAAACGUCGUGAGACAGUUUGGUCCCUAUCUUCCGUGGGCGCUGCAGAUUUGAGGAAGCCUGCUCCUAGUACGAGAGGACCGGAGUGGACGAACCUCUGGUGUAUCGGUUGUCACGCCAGUGGCAUUGCCGAGUAGCUAAGUUCGGAAGAGAUAACCGCUGAAAGCAUCUAAGCGGGAAACUCGUUUCAAGAUUAGAUCUGCCGGGGCCUUGAGCCCCCUAAAGAGUCGUUCAAGACCAGGACGUUGAUAGGUCAGGUGUGGAACCA